rnacentral:rRNA from 1 species
AUUGAGCGCUGGCGGCAUGCCUUACACAUGCAAGUCGAACGGUAACAGGUCUUCGGAUGCUGACGAGUGGCGAACGGGUGAGUAAUACAUCGGAACGUGCCUAGUAGUGGGGGAUAACUACUCGAAAGAGUGGCUAAUACCGCAUGAGAUCUACGGAUGAAAGCAGGGGAUCGCAAGACCUUGUGCUACUAGAGCGGCCGAUGGCAGAUUAGGUAGUUGGUGGGAUAAAAGCUUACCAAGCCGACGAUCUGUAGCUGGUCUGAGAGGACGAUCAGCCACACCGGGACUGAGACACGGCCCAGACUCCUACGGGAGGCAGCAGUGGGGAAUUUUGGACAAUGGGCGCAAGCCUGAUCCAGCAAUGCCGCGUGCAGGAUGAAGGCCUUCGGGUUGUAAACUGCUUUUGUACGGAACGAAAAGCCCUGGGUUAAUACCCUGGGGUCAUGACGGUACCGUAAGAAUAAGCACCGGCUAACUACGUGCCAGCAGCCGCCGUAAAAC